CCCAGGUCGGCCGUGGGUCCAGCGCUCGGAGCGGCCGAGUCCCCGCGUCCCGUGCGCUCCGCCCGCCGGGCAUGGAGUAGUGGCGCAGCUCGGGGCGCGGGGACAGACGUGCGCACAGACGGCGACGACUCCGGCGGCUCCAGCGAGCCCAGCUCUCGGCGCGUGUCGGAGUCUCCCAGCCCCGCGGCCCCGAGCGCACGAUGCGCGGACCCGGGCACCCCCUCCUCCUGGGGCUGCUGCUGGUGCUGGGGGCGGCGGGGCGCGGCCGGGGGGGCGCGGAGCCCCGGGAGCCGGCGGACGGACAGGCGCUGCUGCGGCUGGUGGUGGAACUCGUCCAGGAGCUGCGGAAGCACCACUCGGCGGAGCACAAGGGCCUGCAGCUCCUCGGGCGGGACUGCGCCCUGGGCCGCGCGGAGGCGGCGGGGCUGGGGCCUUCGCCGGAGCAGCGAGUGGAAAUUGUUCCUCGAGAUCUGAGGAUGAAGGACAAGUUUCUAAAACACCUUACAGACUAUAAAAGAUGCGCCAGGCUUCUUACCCGGCUGGCUGUCAGUCCAGUGUGCAUGGAGGAUAAGUGAGCAGACCGUACAGGAGCAGCACACCAGGAGCCAUGAGAAGUGCCUUGGAAACCAACAGGGAAACAGAACUAUCUUUAUACACAUCCCCUCAUGGACAAGAGAUUUAUUUUUGCAGACAGACUCUUCCAUAAGUCCUUUGAGUUUUGUAUGUUGUUGACAGUUUGCAGAUAUAUAUUCGAUAAAUCAGUGUACUUGACAGUGUUAUCUGUCACUUAUUUAAAAAAAAAACACAAAAGGAAUGCUCCACAUUUGACGUGUAGUGCUAUAAAACACAGAAUAUUUCAUUGUCUUCAUUAGGUGAAAUCGCAAAAAAUAUUUCUUUAGAAACAUAAGCAGAAUCUUAAAGUAUAUUUUCAUAUAACAUAAUUUGAUAUUCUGUAUUACUUUCACUGUUAAAUUCUCAGAGUAUUAUUUGGAACGGCAUGAAAAAUUAAAAUUUCGGUCAUGUUUUAGAGACAGUGGAGUGUAAAUCUGUGGCUAAUUCUGUUGGUCGUUUGUAUUAUAAAUGUAAAAUAGUAUUCCAGCUAUUGUGCAAUAUGUAAAUAGUGUAAAUAAACACAAG
rnacentral:lncRNA from 1 species